ACUUAUAUAGCUUAUAAAGAGUAUAACAUUGAAGAUGUUGUGGAGGUAUAUUUAUUAACCUUUAAGUA
rnacentral:tRNA from 1 species